GGCUACAUCAUGUUGAAACACAGGAUCCCAUAUGAUAUGAAGUUAAGCAACAUCAACUCUGGUCAGUACUUUGAUGGGUGACUGCUUGGGAAUACCAGGUGCUGUAAG